UAUGUGAUCGUCUCUCGCAUAUCAAUAAGCGGAGGAAAAGAAACUAACAAGGAUUCCCCUAGUAACGGCGAGUGAAGCGGGAAGAGCUCAAAUUUGAAAUCUUAAAGGGUUUCCCUUUACGAAUUGUAGUUUAAAGAAGUGUUUUCUGUUGAGGUUUUGGUAAAAGUUCUUUGGAAUAGGACAUCAUAGAGGGUGAGAAUCCCGUAUUUGACCUUUACUUUCAACUUUGUGAUACACUUUCAAAGAGUCGGAUUGUUUGGGAAUGCAGUCCAAAAUGGGUGGUAAAUUUCAUCCUAAAGCUAAAUAUUGGCGAGAGACCGAUAGCGAACAAGUACCGUGAGGGAAAGAUGAAAAGAACUUUGAAAAGAGAGUUAAACAGUACGUGAAAUUGUCAAAAGGGAAGCGUUUGACACCAGUGUUGUUUUUCUGAAAAUCAAUUAAAGAACUGUUUAUGCUAAGCUGUUUAGACUUUAUCAGCUAAUCUGUUUAGUUUUGAGCUUUUCUUUAAUGCACUUUUCAGUUAACAAGUCAACAUCAAUUUCUUUUGCUGUAAAAAAGCUUGAGGAAGGUGGCUUGAGAUUCGUCUUAAGUGUUUAUAGCCUCUUGCCUAUGCAGUCGGAGAGAUUGAGGUCUGCAGCGUAGAUCCUUCGGGGCUAAAUGCAUUUGUGCUAAGUUAUAGCAUUUUAUAGACAACUUGUUGACUAUGAUUUGUCUUGUAGCUUACUCGCUUAUGUUAUUUUACCUACGCUUAGGAUGUUGAGUAGCGACAUACGCAC
rnacentral:rRNA from 1 species